GUUGAAAGAGCUCAGCAUGAAAACAGA
rnacentral:piRNA from 1 species